UUUGUCUAAAAACCAGAACCCAAGUACUAACUACUUUCCAGUCUUUUCAACCUUUCAUGAAAGCAAUUCAAUCAACCAACUGCGGCUCCACCCAGAGAGCGUCUAUACUUACUUUUCUUACAGUUUUUGAGUGACGCACUACAAAACGAUGAAGAAAAAAAAAGAGAGAGAGAAAGAGAAAGAGAGGAGCCCUCUUAUGCAGGGCGUCUUCCGCCCUGUAAACUUGGCAAAAGGCAAACUGGACUGAAAUACAGCACUCUCCAUAUAAGGAAGGCCAGCUAAACAUGUCAUGCGUAAUUUAUGGGUAGCAGGCAGAGAAUUAACCUUUGCGUGCACAUAUUUGGCCCAGAUGAAAACCGGGCUGGACGGCAGCCCCGGGGCCAGGGAUGCGGGAUCUCUUGGGAGAAACCGUGGCUCGCGUCUGAUGGACUCGCAUCUUCGCCUGACGAAGGUCAUUAAGUUAGGCAGCCCGACUGCCGACCGAGUGCCCAAGGCAUUGUGGGAGUCAUGAUUCCAAGAGGCCCGCGAUUUAAAAUUGAACUUGUCAGUUCCCGGUCACGGGAGCAUUGUGAGCGCCACAACUCAUUCAGCUGCAGUGAAAAGACUGUUGCAUGUCGCUGUGCAGCCUCUUAUCGCCGAGGUCUGGUUUCCGCUGCUGCUGCGCGGCCCCUCCCCCGCCAGCCCAGCCCCACCAGGAAGCCCGGGGCGGACUCGUCGAGCUCCCGGACGCACGCGGCGGCGAAAAAACGCUCUCCAACUUUCCGCCGCCCUCCCGCCCUCGCCCGGGCCGCACUGGCGCCCCUCAACCGAACAAAGUCCGCAAGGGGUGGUCGUUGCCGCUCGCGGGUCGGCGCCGGGAGCACAAGGAAACCGGAGCCGGCGCUGGCGAGGUGCAUCCCCGCAGCCAACCGGUGGUAUCUUCCAUCUUACACGUUCAACAUUAUAACAGCCGAGCUAUAGUGCGAACGGGACGCACCCCUACUACUUUCUGCUCCUUCCGACCAGCCGGGCGGACACAUAGGUUCGUUUUUUAAAGAGGCCGGCGGAUGAGGCUUUUUGUAAGGAGGCCGGCAAGGUUAGGUUGAAGGUGAGAAUCAGAUGGGCAGAAAACGGCAGGGAUCUGAUGGGGCUGCCGCCUUAAAAUGCACCACACCGUUUUUGAACCUGGAUGGCUCACAGGCGGGAAAAACAUCUGCAAGACUGCCAGUGUGUCUCUUCCUCAAGUAGCAGGGUGUCCACAGUUUUGCAGUUCUUUAGUAAAACUGAUUGUCACACAAGCACAAAAACUCCCACUGCAGCUUCCAGGCUAGCUUGUAAAUAAUAUUUGGAAUGUAAAAUCCCCUUUCUUCCCAACUCUGCAUUACAUGAUUUAUAGGAAGCAGAGACCCUUCCCUGAAAAUAAAAUACCAUUUUCUGAAAUACUGGAAUAUUCCAAGGCAACUAGGUCAUAUUAUUGUUGGAGCAAAACAAACCACAGCCCCAAAUCAUAAUUCAUUGGGUGUUAUAAGAUGCAACUUGGCUUCACUUUGAAUGGAAAGAAUUCUGGACUAAAGUGAUGUGAUAAUGUUUUGGAGAUUUGGGGGCAGAAUUUCCUUUGAAUUUAAGGAAUUUUGAUAACUUGUUCAAUAAUGAUUCUAAUUUAAAACAUUGGUUCCAUGUUUUGGACAAAAUUUGGAAUGAAAUGGUGGAUAUGGUGCCAUGUUCCUCCUACAACUUUGUUGUGUUAAAGAGGGUGGCGCCGGCUUAAGAAGGAAAAGGGAAAACAUCGUGAAAGGUGCUAAAGUUCAGGAGUAAGAGGCAUUAAUAACAGACUUGAGUUCUGACCCUUGGCUAGAUCCACAAAACAGUUAAUAUUGUGCACUGCUGCCUUCCAUAACAAAUAAAUUAAUUAAUGGCCCUACUUCUCAGUGUUAAUCAUUGAAAAGUACCCAAGUGCACACACAGUCGAAGCAAACUAAAAAGGACACUGACACUUUCUCAGAGAACAGGAAUGGGCGUUCUCUAUCUGCCAAUUAGUAGCUAUGAGGAAUGCCUUUUUCUUAAUUCAGCAUUCAUUUCAACAACUACAUCGAACGCCUGCUAUGCCAGAGAUACGAGAAUGGGUAACACAGCCCCUACCCUAGAUGAUGAUAAUACUGCUAGGGAGAAGACAAAUAAACCAAUUAACUCUGCCUCAGGGAUAAAUGCUAAAAUGGUGUUGGCAAGCCAAAGGGGGCCUGAGGAGGGUUAGGGAAGGCUUCCUGGAGGAGUUAUUUUCAACAGGUGCCUUGAAAAGUGUAUAGCAAUUAACAAGAUAAGAUGGAAAGGGAGUUGAGUCUGGUCAAGUGGGAGAAAAGAGCAUGGCAAAUACAACGGACCUGCCAACUUUCCUGUUAGAAGUGAGGGAAGGAUAAGUGUAGGCGAGUGGCAGGAGAUGAGCUAAAAGUAGGUCUGUUUUAAUCCAAGGAGCCUCAGCUUUAGUCUGAAAACCAUGAUGAACUGGAAGAGUUUACACAGCAAGGGGGUAGGUAGAGUUUGGACUUGUAUUUCAGAAAGAUCCUGUGGCAGCAGCUUGAGGGUGAAUGGGAGUGUGGGGUGGUGGCCCAUAGAAGAAGGGUGAAUGGGUGUGGACAGACUGGAAAAAUGACUCAUGCAGGGAAUGAGGAAGGGAGGAACCUUGGGAAGCUCCCAAAUCCCUGGCUUAGCCUACUGGAUUGUUUGCUACUUGCCUUUUAAUGUCUUCAAUUUGCCUUUCAUUCUCCAUGACAACGGACCCUGACUUCUGAGCUGGGCCACCUAUGCGUCUGCUAGCAGGUUGGUGCCCUAGCCGGCUUCCACGCACCUCUCAGAAUGUCCAAUGAACCGCUAAGGCCUAAUCCCCGUUGUAGGAAUUUAUUUUCAAUUGUUCUCAGACCCCUGUAGACUUCCAAGUUAGAACUUUGGUGUUCUUUUUUCUUGUGGGUUAGAAAGUUUGCUGUUUGGAGCAACGUGGUGAAAAGCAGGACUUUGAACCUGUGUAUGGUGCAAGAGGGGAAAUUAUUUUUCCACUUCAGCACUGGAGGAGGGGGGAAGUUCUGGGAACAAAAGAGAAAUUGAAACUGAGACAGAUUUUCUGCUCCACCAAACAGAUUACAAAGAAAUACAAGAAAGACCCUUGAAUGUUGGAAACAGUAAAAUAAACAUCCUCGUAAAUGACAAAGAAGAGAAAAAAAAAUGUUAUUUUAUAUUAGAUAAAAGAAAAAGGGAUGCUUAAGAAAAACUCCUAUAAAAUAAUGGUCUAUCUAGGAUUCAAAAAUGAAUCAAAAUGAAUUGUGAUAUAAAACUAGUUUGCCACAGAUUUAGCUUAAUUUAUUAUUAUUGAUAAUACUAUAACAUGAGUAAUGACGCUGAAAAUUUUGAAGCAUUGUAACAAACACCAGAUCAUAUGUUAAAAAUAUUAAACCAUAUUGCCAGCUUUCAGCUACCA